UGACAGAUAAUCAGGCACAACGCCAGCAUGAACAGCAACAGGCAGAAUCCCAAAAACGCUAUCUAAUGUCUCAGGCUACAAAUUCCAUCACUCCACUCCAAUAUGCUGUCGAUCUCAACAUGGCAACGGACACAGAGAAAUCGGCACUGACCGAAUGGAAAAAAUACAUGGUGUUAUUAAACCGUGUAGACUGUUCGGC
rnacentral:sRNA from 1 species